rnacentral:lncRNA from 12 species
GGGGGGGGGGGGGGGGGGGGGGGGGGGGGGGGGGGGGGGGGGGGGGGGGGGGGGGGGGGGGGGGGGGGGGGGGGGGGGGGGGGGGGGGGGGGGGUGCAGGUGCCCAGGUGUGGGUGCAGGUUGCCAGGUGUGGGUGCAGGUGCACAGCUGUGGGGUGCAGCAGUGAGGUGCAGGUGCCCAGGUGUGGGUGCAGGUGCCCAGGUGUGGGUGCAGGUGCACAGCUGUGGGGUGCAGCAGUGAGGUGCAGGUGCCCAAGUGUGAGAUUCAGGUAUUCAGGUGUGAGAUUCAGGUGUUCAGGUGUGCGGUGCAGGUGCCCAGGUGUGGGUGCAGGUUGCCAGGUGUGGGUGCAGGUGCACAGCUGUGGGGUGCAGCAGUGAGGUGCAGGUGCCCAGGUGUGAGAUUCAGGUGUUCAGGUGUGAGAUUCAGGUGCCCAGGUGUGAGGUGCAGGUGCCCAGGUGUGAGGUGCAGGUGCACAGCUGUGGGGUGCAGGUGCACAGCUGUGGGGUGCAGGUGACACCUGGGGACCUCGGGGCUGGUGGCAGCAGCCACCCUGGGGUGACACCUGUGAGCCAGGUGGGGUCUCAGGGUGCCCCUGGAGCAGAUGACAGGACUGGGGGGGCAGCAG